rnacentral:rRNA from 1 species
GUGGGGAAUCUUGCGCAAUGGGCGAAAGCCUGACGCAGCCAUGCAGCGUGAAUGAUGAAGGUCUUAGGAUUGUAAAAUUCUUUCACCGGGGACGAUAAUGACGGUACCCGGAGAAGAAGCCCCGGCUAACUUCGUGCCAGCAGCCGCGGUAAUACGAAGGGGGCUAGCGUUGCUCGGAAUUACUGGGCGUAAAGGGCGCGUAGGCGGACAGUUUAGUCAGAGGUGAAAGCCCAGGGCUCAACCUUGGAAUUGCCUUUGAUACUGGCUGUCUUGAGUACGGGAGAGGUGAGUGGAACUCCGAGUGUAGAGGUGAAAUUCGUAGAUAUUCGGAAGAACACCAGUGGCGAAGGCGACUCACUGGCCCGUUACUGACGCUGAGGCGCGAAAGCGUGGGGAGCAAACAGGAUUAGAAACCCCGGUAGUCC